rnacentral:rRNA from 1 species
AAUAGAUACCCGGGUAGUCCACGCCGUAAACGGUGGGCACUAGGUGUGGGCGACAUUCCACGUCGUCCGUGCCGCAGCUAACGCAUUAAGUGCCCCGCCUGGGGAGUACGGCCGCAAGGCUAAAACUCAAAGGAUUGACGGGGGCCCGCACAAGCGGCGGAGCAUGUGGCUUAAUUCGACGCAACGCGAAGAACCUUACCAAGGCUUGACAUACACCGGAAACGUCCAGAGAUGGGCGCCCCCUUGUGGUCGGUGUACAGGUGGUGCAUGGCUGUCGUCAGCUCGUGUCGUGAGAUGUUGGGUUAAGUCCCGCAACGAGCGCAACCCUUGUCCCGUGUUGCCAGCAGGCCCUUGUGGUGCUGGGGACUCACGGGAGACCGCCGGGGUCAACUCGGAGGAAGGUGGGGACGACGUCAAGUCAUCAUGCCCCUUAUGUCUUGGGCUGCACACGUGCUACAAUGGCCGGUACAAUGAGCUGCGAUACCGCGAGGUGGAGCGAAUCUCAAAAAGCCGGUCUCAGUUCGGAUUGGGGU